CGGGUAUUAGCGCAGCUUGGUAGCGCGCCUGCCUUGGGAGCAGGAGGUCGCAGGUUCAAAUCCUGCAUACCCGA
rnacentral:tRNA from 1 species